rnacentral:rRNA from 1 species
CUUCUUUUUCCACCGGAGCUUGCUCCACCGGAAAAAGAGGAGUGGCGAACGGGUGAGUAACACGUGGGUAACCUGCCCAUCAGAAGGGGAUAACACUUGGAAACAGGUGCUAAUACCGUAUAACAAUCGAAACCGCAUGGUUUUGAUUUGAAAGGCGCUUUCGGGUGUCGCUGAUGGAUGGACCCGCGGUGCAUUAGCUAGUUGGUGAGGUAACGGCUCACCAAGGCGACGAUGCAUAGCCGACCUGAGAGGGUGAUCGGCCACAUUGGGACUGAGACACGGCCCAAACUCCUACGGGAGGCAGCAGUAGGGAAUCUUCGGCAAUGGACGAAAGUCUGACCGAGCAACGCCGCGUGAGUGAAGAAGGUUUUCGGAUCGUAAAACUCUGUUGUUAGAGAAGAACAAGGAUGAGAGUAACUGUUCAUCCCUUGACGGUAUCUAACCAGAAAGCCACGGCUAACUACGUGCCAGCAGCCGCGGUAAUACGUAGGUGGCAAGCGUUGUCCGGAUUUAUUGGGCGUAAAGCGAGCGCAGGCGGUUUCUUAAGUCUGAUGUGAAAGCCCCCGGCUCAACCGGGGAGGGUCAUUGGAAACUGGGAGACUUGAGUGCAGAAGAGGAGAGUGGAAUUCCAUGUGUAGCGGUGAAAUGCGUAGAUAUAUGGAGGAACACCAGUGGCGAAGGCGGCUCUCUGGUCUGUAACUGACGCUGAGGCUCGAAAGCGUGGGGAGCAAACAGGAUUAGAUACCCUGGUAGUCCACGCCGUAAACGAUGAGUGCUAAGUGUUGGAGGGUUUCCGCCCUUCAGUGCUGCAGCUAACGCAUUAAGCACUCCGCCUGGGGAGUACGACCGCAAGGUUGAAACUCAAAGGAAUUGACGGGGGCCCGCACAAGCGGUGGAGCAUGUGGUUUAAUUCGAAGCAACGCGAAGAA